AUUGAACGCUGGCGGCAGGCCUAACACAUGCAAGUCGAACGGUAACAGGAAGACGCUUGCUUCUUUGCUGACGAGUGGCGGACGGGUGAGUCAUUUCUGGGAAACUGCCUGAUGGAGGGGGAUAACUACUGGAAACGGUAGCUAAUACCGCAUAACGUCUCAAGACCAAAGAGGGGGACCUUCUGGCCUCUUGCCAUCUGAUGUUCUCCGAUGGGAUUAGCUAGUAGGUGGGGUAACGGCUCACCUUGGCGCCGAUCCCUAGCUGGUCUGAGAGGAUGACAAGCCACACUGGAACUGAGACACGGGCCAGACUCAUACGGGAGGCAGCAGUGGGGAAUAUUGCACAAUGGGAGCAAGCAUGAUGCAGCCAUGGCGCGUGUAUGAAGAAGGCAUUCGGGUUGUAAAGUACUUUCAGCGGGGAGGAAGGGAGUAAAGUUAAGAAGUUUGAUCAUUGACGGUACCCGCAGAAGAAGCACCGGCUAACUCCGUG
rnacentral:rRNA from 1 species